UGGACCUCAGAUCAGGCAAGAUCACCCGCUGAGUUUAAGCAUAUCACUAAGCGGAGGAAAAGAAACUAACGAGGAUUCCU
rnacentral:rRNA from 1 species